AUUGAACGCUGGCGGCAGGCCUAACACAUGCAAGUCGAGCGGUAGAGAGGUGCUUGCAUCUCUUGAGAGCGGCGGACGGGUGAGUAAUGCCUAGGAAUCUGCCUAGUGGUGGGGGAUAACGUUCGGAAACGGACGCUAAUACCGCAUACGUCCUACGGGAGAAAGCGGGGGAUCUUCGGACCUCGCGCCAUUAGAUGAGCCUAGGUCGGAUUAGCUAGUUGGUGAGGUAAUGGCUCACCAAGGCGACGAUCCGUAACUGGUCUGAGAGGAUGAUCAGUCACACUGGAACUGAGACACGGUCCGGACUCCUACGGGAGGCAGCAGUGGGGGAAUUUUGGACAAUGGGCGCGAAGCCUGAUCCAGCAAUGCCGCGUGCGGGAUGAAGGCC
rnacentral:rRNA from 1 species